rnacentral:rRNA from 1 species
AUUGAACGCUGGCGGCAGGCCUAACACAUGCAUGUCGAGCGGAGCGGCGGACGGGUGCGUCCUGCCUAGGAAUCUGCCUGUUAGUGGGGGAUCACGUCCGGAAACGGACGCUAAUACCGCAUACUAUCACUUUAUCCUAGGUCGGUUUAGCUAUUUGGUGGGGUAUAGGCCUACCAAGGCUACGAUCCGCAACUGGUCUGAGAGGAUGAUCAGUCACACUGGAACUGAGACACGGUCCAGACUCCUACGGGAGGCAGCAGUGGGGAAUAUUGGACAAUGGGCGAAAGCCUGAUCCAGCCAUGCCGCGUGUGUGAAGAAGGUCUUCGGAUUGUAAAGCACUUUAAGUUGGGAGGCGUUACCAACAGAAUAAGCACCGGCUAACUUCGUGCCAGCAGCCGCGGUAAUAC